rnacentral:rRNA from 1 species
GGCGAACGGCUGAGUAACACGUGGGCAACUUGCCCUUUGCACUGGGAUAGCCUCGGGAAACCGAGGUUAAUACCGGAUACUCCAUAUUUGUCGCAUGGCGAAUAUGGGAAAAGCUCCGGCGGCAAAGGAUGGGCCCGCGGCCUGUUAGCUAGUUGGUGGGGUAGUGGCCUACCAAGGCAAUGAUGGGUAGCCGGGUUGAGAGACCGACCGGCCAGAUUGGGACUGAGACACGGCCCAGACUCCUACGGGAGGCAGCAGAG